GCAGGGGAAAACCGAAUUCAAUUUGUAUCUCAAUCCAAGCAAAUAGGAAAAGGCUGCCAAAUCUGACAAUAAAACCCCACGGUGAUCUCAGCCGUCUCCCUCCUAUACAUUAAAAGGGAGCAGAGCAGCGUUCAGCCAAGGCACUGGUGUGGGGGGAUCUGAGCAUCCCAGGGACAGCCCCGAGCUGUGCCCACGUGCAGUGAGCAAAGCUUGCCCCCAGGUUUACCUGGAGCCAGGAGCAUGCAAGGCAGGAGCACGCCGUGCACAGGGCCAGUGCCGGACCCUGUGAGCAUCCCUCCGCCCCGAACUGCUGCUUCUCAGCUGCCCUCGUGCCACACACCUGGGUCUGCUCCGUGUGUCCCCAUCCAUGUGUCCCCAUCCGUGUGUCACACACAUCCCCGUGGCUGCACCUGAGCCUGUUUCAGCCUUGCCCACUCUCUUUCAUCCCACACAUCGUCAGGCUGCUGUGACAGUGCUUCCCCCACGGACCACGAAGGGAUUAAAAAGAUCAUCCAGACUGGGGGAAAACGACACUUUGGAGCAUUAAC